rnacentral:rRNA from 1 species
GAUGAACGCUGGCGGCGUGCCUAAUACAUGCAAGUCGAGCGAACGGACGAGAAGCUUGCUUCUCUGAUGUUAGCGGCGGACGGGUGAGUAACACGUGGAUCACCUACCUAUAAGACUGGGAUAACUUCGGGAAACCGGCGCUAAUACCGGAUAAUAUUUUGAACCGCAUGGUUCAAAAGUGAAAGACGGUCUUUCUGUCACUUAUCGAUGGAUCCGCGCUGCAUUAGCUAGUUGGUAAGGUAACGGCUUACCAAGGCAACGAUGCAUAGCCGACCUGAGAGGGUGAUCGGCCACACUGGAACUGAGACACGGUCAAGACUCCUACGGGAGGCAGCAGUAGGGAAUCUUCCGCAAUGGGCGAAAGCAUGACGGAGCAACGCCGAGUGAGUGAUGAAGGUCUUCGGAUCGUAAAACUCUGUUAUUAGGGAAGAACAUAUGUGUAAGUAACUGUGCACAUCGUGACGGUACCUAAUCAGAAAGCCACGGCUAACUACGUG